AUCCCAGUUCGGAUUGCAGGCUGCAACCCGCCUGCAUGAAGUUGGAAUCACUAGUAAUCGCGGAUCAGCAUGCCGCGGUGAAUGCGUUCUCGGGCCUUGUACACACCGCCCGUCACACCAUGAGAGUCGGGAACACCCGAAGUCCGUAGCCUAACCGCAAGGGGGCGCGGCCGAAGGUGGGCUCGAUAAUUGGGGUGAAGUCGUAACAAGGUACC
rnacentral:rRNA from 1 species